rnacentral:rRNA from 1 species
GAUGAACGCUGGCGGCGUGCCUAAUACAUGCAAGUAGAACGCUGAAGGAGGAGCUUGCUCUUCUGGAUGAGUUGCGAACGGGUGAGUAACGCGUAGGUAACCUGCCUGGUAGCGGGGGAUAACUAUUGGAAACGAUAGCUAAUACCGCAUGACAACAGUUAUUGCAUGAUAACUGUUUGAAAGGGGCAACUGCUCCGCUACCAGAUGGACCUGCGUUGUAUUAGCUAGUUGGUGGGGUAACGGCUCACCAAGGCGACGAUACAUAGCCGACCUGAGAGGGGGAUCGGCCACACUGGGACUGAGACACGGCCCAGACUCCUACGGGAGGCAGCAGUAGGGAAUCUUCGGCAAUGGACGGAAGUCUGACCGAGCAACGCCGCGUGAGUGAAGAAGGUUUUCGGAUCGUAAAGCUCUGUUGUAAGAGAAGAACGAGUGUGAGAGUGGAAAGUUCACACUGUGACGGUAUCUUACCAGAAAGGGACGGCUAACUACGUG